rnacentral:rRNA from 1 species
AUACGGAGGAUGCGAGCGUUAUCCGGAUUUAUUGGGUUUAAAGGGUGCGUAGGCUGUGCGUUAAGUCAGGGGUGAAAUGCCGUCGCUCAACGACGGAGCUGCCCUUGAUACUGGCGUGCUGGAGUACGGAUGCCGUUGGAGGAAUGAGUGGUGUAGCGGUGAAAUGCUUAGAUAUCACUCAGAACACCGAUUGCGAAGGCAUCUGACGAAUCCGUCACUGACGCUGAGGCCCGAAAGCGUGGGGAUAGAACAGGAUUAGAUACCCUGGUAUUCCACGCCGUAAACGAUGAUGACUAACCGUCGGCGAUAGACAGCCGGUGGCCAAGCGAAAGCGAUAAGUCAUCCACCUGGGGAGUACGUCGGCAACGAUGAAACUCAAAGGAAUUGACGGGG